AAUUGUUUGUUAGCGCCAGACCCACGUGGUUAACGAGGAUGAUGAUUAUCGAUAUUUCGGCGGAUACAUCACGGGCUAGUAUACUCGAAAGAUAUAUAAUAAAAAUCAAAAUCAAAAUUGUAACAAAAAAUAUAUCACAUACUUUA
rnacentral:ncRNA from 2 species